rnacentral:tRNA from 1 species
UCCCUGGUGGUCCAGUGGCUAAAACUCUGCACUCCCAAUGCAAAGGACCCUGGUUCAAUCCCUGGUCGGGAAA